rnacentral:misc_RNA from 1 species
UGAGAGCCGCAAUCCAGGGUUAUAUUAGAAGGGCAAAUUCAAGACAGUUUUCCAUUGGAUGGUGCUAAAUCAGGAAAGCUUUUUUUCCAUCUUAAGUGGACACCACAGAUUAGAUAAAGGAUGCCUUGUUCUUCUCUCUGCAUAAGAAGGCCAAAUCAUGAGAUUUCAACAUUUUUUAAGCUGUGAAAAAUUAAAUAUAUAUAAAAAAAGAAAAAGAAUCUCAAAUUGAGCGUAGUUUUACUUUAUUUAGAGGAAUUAAAUGAAAAUUUCAAGUUCUUUGAUGCGAUACUAUCGUAUACGAACAUCGCACUGUAGUAGACUGAAUGGAAAAGACGAAGGGUAUUAAAAAG